rnacentral:rRNA from 1 species
UACGAAGGGGGCUAGCGUUGCUCGGAAUUACUGGGCGUAAAGCGCACGUAGGCGGCUUUUUAAGUCGGAGGUGAAAUCCUGGAGCUCAACUCCAGAACUGCCUUCGAUACUGAAGAGCUCGAGUCCGGGAGAGGUGAGUGGAACUGCGAGUGUAGAGGUGAAAUUCGUAGAUAUUCGCAAGAACACCGGUGGCGAAGGCGGCCAGCUGGCGCUGACCUGACGCUGAGGCGCGAAGGCGUGGGGAGCGAACGGG